rnacentral:tRNA from 1 species
GUCACUGUAGCUCAGUUGGUAGAGCAUGGCGCUUUCAACGCCAGGGUAGUGGGUUCAAUUCCCAGACGACC